rnacentral:rRNA from 1 species
ACGGGUGAGUAACACGUGGGUAACCUGCCCAGAAGUAGGGGAUAACACCUGGAAACAGAUGCUAAUACCGUAUAACAGAGAAAACCGCAUGGUUUUCUUUUAAAAGAUGGCUCUGCUAUCACUUCUGGAUGGACCCGCGGCGUAUUAGCUAGUUGGUGAGGUAAAGGCUCACCAAGGCAGUGAUACGUAGCCGACCUGAGAGGGUAAUCGGCCACAUUGGGACUGAGACACGGCCCAGACUCCUACGGGAGGCAGCAGUAGGGAAUCUUCCACAAUGGACGCAAGUCUGAUGGAGCAACGCCGCGUGAGUGAAGAAGGGUUUCGGCUCGUAAAGCUCUGUUGUUAAAGAAGAACGUGGGUAAGAGUAACUGUUUACCCAGUGACGGUAUUUAACCAGAAAGCCACGGCUAACUACGUGCCAGCAGCCGCGGUAAUACGUAGGUGGCAAGCGUUAUCCGGAUUUAUUGGGCGUAAAGCGAGCGCAGGCGGUCUUUUAAGUCUAAUGUGAAAGCCUUCGGCUCAACCGAAGAAGUGCAUUGGAAACUGGGAGACUUGAGUGCAGAAGAGGACAGUGGAACUCCAUGUGUAGCGGUGAAAUGCGUAGAUAUAUGGAAGAACACCAGUGGCGAAGGCGGCUGUCUGGUCUGCAACUGACGCUGAGGCUCGAAAGCAUGGGUAGCGAACAGGAUUAGAUACCCUGGUAGUCCAUGCCGUAAACGAUGAUUACUAAGUGUUGGAGGGUUUCCGCCCUUCAGUGCUGCAGCUAACGCAUUAAGUAAUCCGCCUGGGGAGUACGACCGCAAGGUUGAAACUCAAAAGAAUUGACGGGGGCCCGCACAAGCGGUGGAGCAUGUGGUUUAAUUCGAAGCUACGCGAAGAACCUUACCAGGUCUUGACAUCUUCUGACAGUCUAAGAGAUUAGAGGUUCCCUUCGGGGACAGAAUGACAGGUGGUGCAUGGUUGUCGUCAGCUCCUGUCCUGGAAAUGUUGGGGUUAAGUCCCCCAACCAACCCCACCCCUUAUUACUAAGUUGCCACCAUUAAAUUUGGG